GCCAGACUCCUACGGGAGGCAGCAGUGAGGAAUAUUGGUCAAUGGGCGGGAGCCUGAACCAGCCAAGUCGCGUGAGGGAAGACGGUCCUAUGGAUUGUAAACCUCUUUUGUCGGGGAGCAAAAAGGCCUCGUGAGGCCACAAGUGAGAGUACCCGAAGAAAAAGCAUCGGCUAACUCCGUGCCAGCAGCCGCGGUAAUACGGAGGAUGCGAGCGUUAUCCGGAUUUAUUGGGUUUAAAGGGUGCGUAGGCGGACUGGAAAGUCAGGGGUAAAAUCGAGAGGCUCAACCUCUUUCCGCCGUUGAAACUGUCGGUCUUGAGUGGGCGAGAAGUAUGCGGAAUGCGUGGUGUAGCGGUGAAAUGCAUAGAUAUCACGCAGAACUCCGAUUGCGAAGGCAGCAUACCGGCGCCCGACUGACGCUGAGGCACGAAAGCGUGGGUAUCGAACAGGAUUAGAUACCCUAGUAU
rnacentral:rRNA from 1 species